AUACGGAAGGUCCGGGCGUUAUCCGGAUUUAUUGGGUUUAAAGGGAGCGCAGGCGGCCUUUUAAGCGUGACGUGAAAUGUAGGCGCUCAACGUCUGAAUUGCGUCGCGAACUGUUAGGCUUGAGUAGACGGAAUGUCGGCGGAAUUCGUGGUGUAGCGGUGAAAUGCUUAGAUAUCACGAAGAACUCCGAUUGCGAAGGCAGCUGACAGCAGUUAUACUGACGCUCAUGCUCGAAAGUGCGGGUAUCGAACAGGAUUAGAUACCCUGGUAGUCCGCACGGUAAACGAUGGAUGCCCGCUGUUUGCCUUUUUGGUAAGCGGCCGAGCGAAAGCAUUAAGCAUCCCACCUGGGGAGUACGCCGGCAACGGUGAAACUCAAAGGAAUUGGCGGGG
rnacentral:rRNA from 1 species